rnacentral:rRNA from 1 species
UACGAAGGGGGCUAGCGUUGUUCGGAAUUACUGGGCGUAAAGCGCGCGCAGGCGGUCUUCCAAGUCAGUGGUGAAAGCCCGGAGCUCAACUCCGGAACUGCCAUUGAAACUGUUGGACUUGAGUACGAGAGAGGUAAGUGGAAUUCCGAGUGUAGAGGUGAAAUUCGUAGAUAUUCGGAAGAACACCAGUGGCGAAGGCGACUUACUGGACACAUAUUGACGCUGAGGUGCGAAAGCGUGGGGAGCAAAC